ACUGCCCCUGAAAUGAGGAUAGUAUAACCUGGAGAGGAGCAAUUGUCAUGUGAAAAAGGAAGUAGACAUUUUUCUGCUCUGGAGAAUCAAACUACAGUAAAAUUUAUAUGGCAAAGGAUAUAGUACAAGAAGAAAAAGAGAAUACAGAUGACAUCGGGGGUCCAAGAGACAUUC
rnacentral:lncRNA from 1 species